rfam:Sulfolobus acidocaldarius DSM 639, complete genome.
GGGCCCGUAGCUUAGCCCGGUAGAGCGCCCGGCUCAUAAACUAUGUAUGUGGAGAGACCGGGUGGUCCGGGGUUCAAGUCCCCGCGGGCCCA